AUUGAACGCUGGCGGCAUGCCUAACACAUGCAAGUCGAACGGUAACAGAACUAGCUUGCUAGUUGCUGACGAGUGGCGGACGGGUGAGUAAUGUAUAGGGAUCUGCCUAGUAGUGGGGGACAACAUGUGGAAACGCAUGCUAAUACCGCAUACGCUCUACGGAGGAAAGUGGGGGACCUUUCGGGGCCUCAUGCUACUAGAUGAACCUAUAUUGGAUUAGCUAGUUGGUAAGGUAAUGGCUUACCAAGGCGACGAUCCAUAGCUGGUUUGAGAGAAUGAUCAGCCACACUGGGACUGAGACACGGCCCAGACUCCUACGGGAGGCAGCAGUGGGGAAUAUUGCACAAUGGGCGCAAGCCUGAUGCAGCAAUGCCGCGUGUGUGAAGAAGGCCUUAGGGUUGUAAAGCACUUUCAGACGUGAGGAAAAGUUAUAAGUUAAUAACUUAUAACCUUGACGUUAACGUCAGAAGAAGGACCGGCUAACUCCGUGCCAGCAGCCGCGGUAAUACGGAGGGUCCAAGCGUUAAUCGGAAUUACUGGGCGUAAAGCGCGCGUAGGCGGAUAUUUAAGUCAGAUGUGAAAUCCCUGGGCUCAACCUAGGAACUGCAUUUGAUACUGGGUAUCUAGAGUAUGGUAGAGGUGAAUGGAAUUUCAGGUGUAGCGGUGAAAUGCGUAGAGAUCUGAAGGAACAUCAGUGGCGAAGGCGACUCACUGGGCCAUUACUGACGCUGAGGUGCGAAAGCGUGGGUAGCAAACAGGAUUAGAUACCCUGGUAGUCCACGCCCUAAACGAUGUCAACUAGGUGUAUGGGAGUUUAACUCCUGUGUAUCGAAAGCUAACGCG
rnacentral:rRNA from 1 species